UACGUAGGUCCCGAGCGUUGUCCGGAUUUAUUGGGCGUAAAGCGAGCGCAGGUGGUUUAUUAAGUCUGGUGUAAAAGGCAGUGACUCAACCAUUGUAUGCAUUGGAAACUGGUAGACUUGAGUGCAGGAGAGGAGAGUGGAAUUCCAUGUGUAGCGGUGAAAUGCGUAGAUAUAUGGAGGAACACCGGUGGCGAAGGCGGCUCUCUGGCCUGUAACUGACACUGAGGCUCGAAAGCGUGGGGAGCAAACAGG
rnacentral:rRNA from 1 species